GAGGAAAAGAAAUCAACCGAGAUUCCCCCAGUAGCGGCGAGCGAACGGGGAGGAGCCCAGAGCCUGAAUCAGUGUGUGUGUUAGUGGAAGCGUCUGGAAAGGCGCGCGAUACAGGGUGACAGCCCCGUACACAAAAAUGCACAUAUUGUGAGCUCGAUGAGUAGGGCGGGACACGUGGUAUCCUGUCUGAAUAUGGGGGGACCAUCCUCCAAGGCUAAAUACUCCUGACUGACCGAUAGUGAACCAGUACCGUGAGGGAAAGGCGAAAAGAACCCCGGCGAGGGGAGUGAAAAAGAACCUGAAACCGUGUACGUACAAGCAGUGGGAGCCUCUUUUAUGGGGUGACUGCGUACCUUUUGUAUAAUGGGUCAGCGACUUAUAUUCUGUAGCAAGGUUAACCGAAUAGGGGAGCCGAAGGGAAACCGAGUCUUAACUGGGCGUUAAGUUGCAGGGUAUAGACCCGAAACCCGGUGAUCUAGCCAUGGGCAGGUUGAAGGUUGGGUAACACUAACUGGAGGACCGAACCGACUAAUGUUGAAAAAUUAGCGGAUGACUUGUGGCUGGGGGUGAAAGGCCAAUCAAACCGGGAGAUAGCUGGUUCUCCCCGAAAGCUAUUUAGGUAGCGCCUCGUGAAUUCAUCUCCGGGGGUAGAGCACUGUUUCGGCAAGGGGGUCAUCCCGACUUACCAACCCGAUGCAAACUGCGAAUACCGGAGAAUGUUAUCACGGGAGACACACGGCGGGUGCUAACGUCCGUCGUGAAGAGGGAAACAACCCAGACCGCCAGCUAAGGUCCCAAAGUCAUGGUUAAGUGGGAAACGAUGUGGGAAGGCCCAGACAGCCAGGAUGUUGGCUUAGAAGCAGCCAUCAUUUAAAGAAAGCGUAAUAGCUCACUGGUCGAGUCGGCCUGCGCGGAAGAUGUAACGGGGCUAAACCAUGCACCGAAGCUGCGGCAGCGACACUAUGUGUUGUUGGGUAGGGGAGCGUUCUGUAAGCCUGUGAAGGUGUACUGUGAGGUAUGCUGGAGGUAUCAGAAGUGCGAAUGCUGACAUAAGUAACGAUAAAGCGGGUGAAAAGCCCGCUCGCCGGAAGACCAAGGGUUCCUGUCCAACGUUAAUCGGGGCAGGGUGAGUCGACCCCUAAGGCGAGGCCGAAAGGCGUAGUCGAUGGGAAACAGGUUAAUAUUCCUGUACUUGGUGUUACUGCGAAGGGGGGACGGAGAAGGCUAUGUUGGCCGGGCGACGGUUGUCCCGGUUUAAGCGUGUAGGCUGGUUUUCCAGGCAAAUCCGGAAAAUCAAGGCUGAGGCGUGAUGACGAGGCACUACGGUGCUGAAGCAACAAAUGCCCUGCUUCCAGGAAAAGCCUCUAAGCAUCAGGUAACAUCAAAUCGUACCCCAAACCGACACAGGUGGUCAGGUAGAGAAUACCAAGGCGCUUGAGAGAACUCGGGUGAAGGAACUAGGCAAAAUGGUGCCGUAACUUCGGGAGAAGGCACGCUGAUAUGUAGGUGAAGUCCCUCGCGGAUGGAGCUGAAAUCAGUCGAAGAUACCAGCUGGCUGCAACUGUUUAUUAAAAACACAGCACUGUGCAAACACGAAAGUGGACGUAUACGGUGUGACGCCUGCCCGGUGCCGGAAGGUUAAUUGAUGGGGUUAGCGCAAGCGAAGCUCUUGAUCGAAGCCCCGGUAAACGGCGGCCGUAACUAUAACGGUCCUAAGGUAGCGAAAUUCCUUGUCGGGUAAGUUCCGACCUGCACGAAUGGCGUAAUGAUGGCCAGGCUGUCUCCACCCGAGACUCAGUGAAAUUGAACUCGCUGUGAAGAUGCAGUGUACCCGCGGCAAGACGGAAAGACCCCGUGAACCUUUACUAUAGCUUGACACUGAACAUUGAGCCUUGAUGUGUAGGAUAGGUGGGAGGCUUAGAAGUGUGGACGCCAGUCUGCAUGGAGCCGACCUUGAAAUACCACCCUUUAAUGUUUGAUGUUCUAACGUUGACCCGUGAUCCGGGUUGCGGACAGUGUCUGGUGGGUAGUUUGACUGGGGCGGUCUCCUCCUAAAGAGUAACGGAGGAGCACGAAGGUUGGCUAAUCCUGGUCGGACAUCAGGAGGUUAGUGCAAUGGCAUAAGCCAGCUUGACUGCGAGCGUGACGGCGCGAGCAGGUGCGAAAGCAGGUCAUAGUGAUCCGGUGGUUCUGAAUGGAAGGGCCAUCGCUCAACGGAUAAAAGGUACUCCGGGGAUAACAGGCUGAUACCGCCCAAGAGUUCAUAUCGACGGCGGUGUUUGGCACCUCGAUGUCGGCUCAUCACAUCCUGGGGCUGAAGUAGGUCCCAAGGGUAUGGCUGUUCGCCAUUUAAAGUGGUACGCGAGCUGGGUUUAGAACGUCGUGAGACAGUUCGGUCCCUAUCUGCCGUGGGCGCUGGAGAACUGAGGGGGGCUGCUCCUAGUACGAGAGGACCGGAGUGGACGCAUCACUGGUGUUCGGGUUGUCAUGCCAAUGGCACUGCCCGGUAGCUAAAUGCGGAAGAGAUAAGUGCUGAAAGCAUCUAAGCACGAAACUUGCCCCGAGAUGAGUUCUCCCUGACCCUUUAAGGGUCCUGAAGGAACGUUGAAGACGACGACGUUGAUAGGCCGGGUGUGUAAGCGCAGCGAUGCGUUGAGCUAACCGGUACUAAUGAACCGUGAGGCUUAACCUU
rnacentral:rRNA from 1 species